rnacentral:rRNA from 1 species
GCAGAAUCCCGUGAACCAUCGAGUUUUUGAACGCAAGUUGCGCCCGAAGCCGUCUCGGCGGUGGAGGGCACGUCUGCCUGGGUGUCAAGAAACGUCGCCAAACGUCCCUCUCCGCACCCCCCCGCCCGAGGGGGGAAGCAUCGAGGGGGCGGGCGGAUAUUGGCCUCCCGUGCGCGGUUGCUCGCGGUUGGCCCAAAAGAGAGUACCCCGGCGAGGCAGCCACGACGUGCGGUGGCAGAAAGCGUAUGCUCUCCUCGAACACCGUCGUGGGCUGGCCUCGUGGGGCGGGAAGGACUAAGGCCCCGAUGCGAAGUCGCGUUUCGCGAAGCGACCCCAGGUCAGGCGGGAGCACCCGCUGAGUUUAAGCAUAUCAAUAAGCGGAGGAAAAGAAACUUACGAGGAUUCCCCUAGUAACGGCGAGCGAACCGGGAACAGCCCAGCUUGAGAAUCGGAUGCCCUCGGCGUUCGA